rnacentral:rRNA from 1 species
UGGGGAAUAUUGCACAAUGGGCGCAAGCCUGAUGCAGCCAUGCCGCGUGUGUGAAGAAGGCCUUCGGGUUGUAAAGCACUUUCAGUGGUGAGGAAGGUCAGUAAGUUAAUAGCUUGCUGAAUUGACGUUAGCCACAGAAGAAGCACCGGCUAACUCCGUGCCAGCAGCCGCGGUAAUACGGAGGGUGCAAGCGUUAAUCGGAAUUACUGGGCGUAAAGCGUACGUAGGCGGUGUGUUAAGCAAGAUGUGAAAGCCCCGGGCUCAACCUGGGAAUUGCAUUUUGAACUGGCACGCUAGAGUCCUGAAGAGGGUGGUAGAAUUUCCAGUGUAGCGGUGAAAUGCGUAGAUAUUGGAAGGAAUACCAGUGGCGAAGGCGGCCACCUGGUCAGAGACUGACGCUGAGGUACGAAAGCGUGGGGAGCAAACAGG